rnacentral:rRNA from 1 species
AGCGAACGCUGGCGGCAGGCUUAACACAUGCAAGUCGAGCGGGCAUCCUUGUGGUGUCAGCGGCAGACGGGUGAGUAACGCGUGGGAACGUGCCCUUUGGUUCGGAAUAACUCAGGGAAACUUGAGCUAAUACCGGAUACGCCCUUUUGGGGAAAGGCUUGCUGCCGAAGGAUCGGCCCGCGUCUGAUUAGCUUGUUGGUGAGGUUAUGGCUCACCAAGGCGACGAUCAGUAGCUGGUCUGAGAGGAUGAUCAGCCACACUGGGACUGUGACACGGCCCAGACUCCUACGGGAGGCAGCAGUGGGGAAUAUUGGACAAUGGGGGCAACCCUGAUCCAGCCAUGCCGCGUGAGUGAUGACGGCCUUAGGGUUGUAAAGCUCUUUUCUCCGGGACGAUAAUGACGGUACCGGAGGAAUAAGCCCCGGCUAACUUCGUGCCAGCAGCCGCCGUAAAAC